UGACCUUCUUUACUGACACCUCCAGCAGCAAAGAAAUAGUUUAUAUAACUUUUCAAAAACAACCAAUCAGAACAAUAAAACAAAACUCUUAGGCAGACCCUCCAACUUCUUUUUUCUUUGAGGUCUAAUAGGCGAGCAUGAAAUCCAACUGAGGCAAUCGGUUACCGGCACUAUUAAAGAGAAACCGACAGGACCAGCAGAAAUUCCA